AGCGCGACUCUCCUUCUUGUGUUUUAGUUUACACAGCAAAGCCAUGCAGAGCACAUCGUAGCUCAGUUCUAUGCCACAGAUCAUUUUGUUUUAAUCCUUGGAGUAGAUCUGUCUUUUUACAAUUUCAAGCCUCAGUAAAUGGUCAACUCAACAACUGUCUUCUGAGUCUUUGUUCGCUAUCUGUUAAGCUAUGCAGUGCGAUGCAUACGCAAGGGCAGAAUAAUUAGUACUAUUUAAAAUGUUAAUUUGCUACAUUUCCACACAAACAAACUGUGAAGUCCAAUGAAUGUUAAUCUAACUGGGUUUUGAUAGAUAACAUAUCUCUUUUUCUUCUCUCAAUUAUUGUAUUUCUAUUGUGCACUAUAAUCAAUAUUAAUCCAACUAAUGUUCGUUUAUGCAUUUUAAGAAUGGCGUUUAUCUUUUUUGAGUAAGAGUUCUUAUUUUUAUUUAAUGUAUUUGGGUCUAAACAGCAACAGAUGAUACAAAUGUUUAGUAAAUAUGUACUAACAGAGGCGGGGGUGUUUGUGAAAACAACGGGGACAGAGGAGCUGGCUGCUGUCAGACGAACAGCUGUGCGGCGUCAUCACAAAUGGACGUCGCUUCACGUGACGCUCCGGUGGAAAGAACGUCCCAUUGCUUUUAAAACUAAUUUCCCUGCAAAAGUUUUGUUUUGACAAAAGGCGGAGACUAGUGUUGAAACUAGUGGAGACACGAUCAAGAUGCCACCUUGUCCCUCUGAUUAGACGGCAUGUUAAGUCAGGAAGUAGCAUCAUUAGUGAUGAGUGGAGGGCAUACAGGAGAGUGCUGAGGAACAUGGGGUACAACCACUGCACCAUAAACCACAGCAGGUGGUUUGUGAACCCCCAGACUCGCAGUCAUACCCAACAUAUAGAAAGAGCUUGGUCGACCGUCAAAGGACAUGUCCGUAGACUGAGAGGAAACCGUACAGAGAGUUUGUUGGAGGAACACCUCAAGGUUCUUGAAUGGUCAUCUUGGCUUGGCUCUGCUCACCCUGAUGGACUGCUUGGACGCUUGUUCAAGGAUAUACACAAAGUCUUUCCAGUCCGAGUACAAUUUACCAAGUCUUUCAUUUAUGUCUGAGAAACGCUUUUAUGUUUAAAUAUGUGUAUCAGUCAUACUAAAAGUCAUUACUUUGAGUCCUAAUUUUCUUCAUGUGUGAAUAAAAUGUUUUGCUUGGU